rnacentral:rRNA from 1 species
AGCAGCCGCGGUAAUUCCAGCUCCAAUAGCGUAUAUUAAAGUUGUUGCAGUUAAAAGCUCGUAGUUGAAUUUCGGGGUUAGUAGGUUGGUCAUGCCUCUGGUAUGUACUGGUCUCACUGAUUCCUCCUUCCUGAUGAACCUUAAUGCCAUUAAUUUGGUGUUUUGGGGAAUUUGGACUGUUACUUUGAAAAAUUAGAGUGUUUAAAGCAAGCUAACGCUUGAAUACAUUAGCAUGGAAUAAUGAAAUAGGACGUUCGAUCCUAUUUUGUUGGUUUCUAGGAUUGACGUAAUGAUUAAUAGGGAUAGUUGGGGGCAUUAGUAUUCAAUUGUCAGAGGUGAAAUUCUUGGAUUUAUUGAAGACUAACUACUGCGAAAGCAUUUGCCAAGGAUGUUUUCAUUAAUCAAGAACGAAAGUUAGGGGAUCGAAGACGAUCAGAUACCGUCGUAGUCUUAACCAUAAACUAUGCCGACUAGGGAUCGGAUGAUGUUAAUUUUUUAAUGACUCAUUCGGCGCCUUACG